CAACCCCUCAAGCUCUGCUUGGCGUUGGGCACCGUCAGUCAAGCGACGGGCCUCAAAAUCAGUGGCGGCGCCGUCGGGUCCUGAACGUGGUAAUCUACAUUCGUUACAGGGCCUCGGCGAGCCUGCAGCCAUCAACCUCCCCCAGGGAGCAUUCUUCU
rnacentral:misc_RNA from 1 species